rnacentral:rRNA from 1 species
UACGUAGGGCGCAAGCGUUGUCCGGAAUUAUUGGGCGUAAAGAGCUCGUAGGCGGUUUGUCGCGUCUGCCGUGAAAACCUAAGGCUCAACCUUGGGCUUGCAGUGGGUACGGGCAGACUAGAGUGCGGUAGGGGUGACUGGAAUUCCCGGUGUAGCGGUGGAAUGCGCAGAUAUCAGGAGGAACACCGGUGGCGAAGGCGGGUCUCUGGGCCGAUACUGACGCUGAGGAGCGAAAGCGUGGGGAGCAAACAGG